UCAAAAAGCCAUUCUCGAUGACGACAUUGUUAUCGCCGACGAAAAGGUUGCAAACGUGUAUACGGCCCCCUGAUAGGACUGCGACCUAACUAUGACCUAACUAUAUCGGUCGAAAAGUAGCUAGUCUCUGACAAAGGUGCUCUUGAGUUCGCUAAGCCAUUUAUAUGCGAUGAAGGUGGAACGGAUUUAUCUCCAAUCUCCUUUCGCCCGUUCACUCAGUACUCAGUAGCAGCUCCCGUCUUCGCAAUUCGCGAGGGUUGAAAAUGGAUUUCAGACAAUAUGAACAAUAAUAACUCGACAUUCUCAAGUUCACCAAUUGAACAAGUCCAGCAUAUCGUCGCAAAGUAGUACACUCAAGUGGACUCCACCUAAUGGACGGAUACAGAGAUAGUAUCCAGAAAGAUCUUGGGAUUACAUUCGUCAAACCAAAUAUCUUUAGCAGUCGCAAAAGAGGUGACGGGGCUCAAAGGAAGUAAACAAGUCAUCCUUUGAAGCUAAGCACUUUUCAUCUUUUGUAGGAAAAUCCCCUUCUCUAGUCUUGGGAAAUUGAGCGACCCAUCCACAUAAGCACAAGAAUUUUUUUCCCGAGCAAAUCAUUCUUCAUCGCAUAAGCCCAUGACAAGUCAUUUCCAGAUGCUUCUUUCAGAAGAGCACGGGAAAAACCUAUGGAAUCCAUUGUACUAAGAACUAAGACCCGAAAGAUCAUCUAAGGACUGAAAAUCGGGACUCAAAACUAGUCAAGAAGGCUUAAGCUUAACUCAAGCAAUCACUCAAGAGAAGCCGGAUUCGUAAAAGAAAGAAGAAGAAGUUCCAGCCAAUUUCGAUUUUGAAUGAUAAGGAAGCGCUUGAUCCGGGUCUUAGAAGGGCAUCGAGAUCAAGGAGAUCGUGAGAUCAAAGUGGACGUUCCCGAUUUCCAUGGCCGAUUGCAUCCUUGCAUCCUGAGGACUUUCUUGAUUGGCUAAGUAGCGUAGAGAAGUUCUUUGAUUGGAAAGAACUACCCGAGGUGUGCGAAGAUGAAAUUCCUGAGCAAAAAUAAGGAACGCUUUCUCGACGCUGUAGAUCAUGCAUGACUGACUUGUCCAAAGGAGACGGGAAGUUCUUUUCCCCUUUUGUUAGGCUUUGCUGGGAUGAUGUCUCGUUCUUCGUCACGCUGCCCAUGACUGGAUAGGGGUAGCACCAUAGACCAUCUCUUUGGCUUAGAGUUGUUUCAUGAGCGAGGGGGCUAAGCGCAUACACGCUUCCUUCGAAACCUGACUCUAUCUUCGAUUACCAAAAAGAAAGCGAAGGAGAGCCACUUUUUUUUAUAGUAUAGAGUAGGACUGAAAUUCCAAGCGCUCCUAGCUCAGAAACCACACACAGACAAACACAUGGAGGCCCAUAAAACCCAUAAAUAAUAGACUAACAAAUAUACGUGACAUACACUUCCUGUGUGAAGUUUUUAUCUUAAUGAAUCAAAGCUGUUUGUAAAAUGCUACUUUUCUUUCUGCAACAAGUAAGAGUACUUUUUCUUAUCAUACACCCUUAUGAAUGAAUGAAUCAAAAAAAUGUGAUUCCACAAAUAGUCCCCCUUCUCUCUUUCUUCAAAGACAGAGGUACACAUCACAGGAAAAAACCCCAAAAACAGAAAGAGAAAGAAGUAAGUAAAAAAAUAGGAAAUACUGCUAGAUGGCAACCUAACCGAGUACGUCAUAAUUGAGAAAGGUAAGCCCCACUCCACUGAAUUGGAGAAUUCCAGAACACGUAUCAGAGAGUGCUCCAAUGGCAGUGGGGGCACAAUUGAGAGAAUUUCGACGAUUAGAAAAGAAAAAGAAGAAAGUUAGUGUUCAAUGAGCUCGAGAUAGCUGCCUGAUGAGAGGAAAGGACGCCGGGUACAGUCUUUCUUUGGUUCCAGCUCCCCGAUUACACCAAAGCACACCAGUCAACACUGUACUAUAGCUUUUACACCUGUGAGUUGGCAAAAUAAUAUCGUAUGUUAAUAAAAGACCUGAGUUGGCGAAAUCAAAAGAAAAGCUAACGCUAACUAAGUGUUUAGUUACCAUGCCCAAAAGCCCCGUGCCUUUCUUGGUUGGAUAAACAAAACCAACCGGUGAUUUCUGACAAGUCUCUCUUUUUUUUGGUAUACUGCUCUGCGAGCAGAGUGAAUGAAUAGAAAUCUUUCCGAAUAUCAUGAAUAUCCAUCGCCCCUUGUCUCCAUCUUUCAUUCGUUCUAUGAUUCUCCUUUCUACCCUUCUUUUUACUACCUGUCUCUUGUCUCAUUUGAUUGGCUUUGAUCCCUACCUUAUUAUGGAGAGGGUCAAAGGUCCUUUUUUCCUCCAAGCCUUACAUUCUCUUUUUAGGCUCUUUGGUUUUGAAGUGCCUAUCUGCCUUCUUCUUUCGCUCCUUGCUUUGGUUGGCGGUUGCAGCAGCUUGCACAUGGAUGAUAAUUCCACUGGAGGAAGGGGAUUCAGUUUGACUGAUUUAUUUUCUGAUUUAUUUGGAAGCAGUUCCCCUACAAAUUCCAAAGUCGGUCUCAACCAACCAGCCCCGGACUCUCCCAACCCUGGUGACCCCGCAGAGCCUCCUAUUGCUGAGCCUUAUCAUCUGUUACAGGAGGAUGGAGAGAGGCUAAGGGAGCUCAAUGAGCGCUUUUCCUUCUAUACUUUCGGGUGUCCCCUGCCCGAGCAUAUUUCCUCCGAUAUUCUCGAGGCUCAAUUCCAAACGGAACUAAAGAUAAAGGAAGCCCUUCGUUCAGACAGAGUGCAAGACGCGUCUCUUUUUGAGAAAAGGCACCAGAUUAGGGGGGAACUCUUCUAUCCGUUUGGGAAGCCAUUAUCCUUGGACACUUACUUAGACCACCUAUCUCAAAUAGAAAACUAUGGGACCCACCGCAGCCUGCCUUAUAAAAGGGUUUUGAAAGCGAUUGCUCAGCAGGACUUAGCGUUGGUCUUUGACUCAAUCAAAAGAAAGAGAUACUGGUAGAGCUCUUCUUUGUCAUCUUUGUCAGUGGCAUUCUCCCUUCUAUCUAUCUGAAUUAUGGAACUUUCUCACCGAGCUGCAGAACUAACAAGUUUAUUAAAAAGUUGAAUUAGUAACUUUUACACAAAUUUUCAAGUGGAUGAAAUCGGUCGAGUGGUCUCAGUUGGAGAUGGGAUUGCACGUGUUUAUGGAUUGAACGAGAUUCAAGCUGGGGAAAAGGAAUAGCCUUGAAUCUUAAGAAUGAGAAUGUAGGGAUUGUUGUCUUUGGUAGUGAUACUGCUAUUAAAGAAGGAGAUCUUGUCAAGCGCACUGGAUCUAUUAUGGAUGUUCCUGCGGGAAAGGCUAUGCUAGGGCAUGUGGUCGAUGGCUUGGGAGUACCUAUUAAUGGAAGGGGGGCUCUAAGCGAUCACGAGUGAAGACGUGUGAAAGUGAAAGCCCCUGGGAUUAUUGAACGUAAAUCAGUGCAUGAGCCUAUGCAAACAGGUUUAAAAGCGGUAGAUAGCCUGGUUCCUAUAGGUCGUGGUCAACGAGAACUUAUAAUUGGGGACCGACAAACUGGAAAAACAGCUAUUGCUAUCGAUACCAUAUUAAACCAAAAGCAACUGAACUCAAGGGCCACCUCUGAGAGUGAGACAUUGUAUUAUGUCUAUGUAGCGAUUGGACAGAAACGCUCAACUGUGGCACAAUUAGUUCAAAUUCUUUCAGAAGCGAAUGCUUUGGAAUAUUCUAUUCUUGUAGCAGCCACCGCUUCGGAUCCUGCUCCUCUACAAUUUUUGGCCCCAUAUUCUGGGUGUGCCAUGGGGAAAUAUUUCCAUGAUAAUGGAAUGCACGCAUUAAUAAUCUAUGAUGAUCUUAGUAAACAGGCGGUAGCAUAUCGACAAAUGUCAUUAUUGUUACGCCGACCACCAGGUCGUGAGGCUUUCCCAGGGGAUGUUUUCUAUUGUCAUUCCCUUCUCUUAGAAAGAGCGGCUAAACGAUCGGACCAGACAGGCGCAGGUAGCUUAACCGCCUUACCCGUCAUUGAAACAUAAGCUGGAGACGUAUCGGCCUAUAUUCCCACCAAUGUGAUCCCCAUUACUGAUGGACAAAUCUAUUUGGAAACAGAGCUCUUUUAUCGCAGAAUUAGACCUGCUAUUAACGUCGGCUUAUCUGUCAGUCAUGUAGGGUCUGCCGCUCAGUUGAAAACUAUGAAACAAGUCUGCGGUAGUUCAAAAUUGAAAUUGGCACAAUAUCGUGAGUGGCCGCCCUUGCUCAAUUUGGCUUAGACCUUGAUGCUGCGACUCAGGCAUUACUCAAUAGAGGUGCAAGGCUGACAGAAGUACCGAAACAACCACAAUAUGUACCACUGCCAAUUUAAAAACAAAUUCUAGUCAUUUAUGCAGCUGUCAAUGGAUUCUGUGAUCGAAUGCCACUAGACAGAAUUUCUCAAUAUGAGAGAGCCAUUCCAAAUAGUGUCAAACUAGAAUUACUACAAUCCUUUUUAGAAAAAGGUGGCUUAACUAACGAAAGAAAGAUGGAACCAGAUACAUUCUUAAAAGAAAGUGCUUUAGCUUUUAUUUAAAUUGUAUACAAUACAAGGAAGGCAUCAUUUUGGAGUAACAACUCCAAAAGGGAGAGGGGUUUCCCCCUGUCCCGUAGGAGGCUGAGCACAAAUCAAUUUAUCGUUUUAGGUUUUGUUUUCCUAUUGGUGUCACAUGGAGCAUUGGUAAGGGUGAUGUGAUGGUGGGUUUUCUUGAAAGUAAGAAGUGAAAAUGACAUUUUCUUAUCUUUCUUAAAAGUUCAUCACACUAAUAUUUCACCACAAUCUCCGGUUCUUCUUAGUAAGGGUCCAUCCCAGGCUUAUUACUCUGAAGGACUCCUGGUUGGAACCCAGGCGCCCCCCCGAGACCGACUAGUUUGGUCCAAUAGGAAAAGUGAGGUUUCGUACCUCUUGGCGUGGUCUAUUUU
rnacentral:lncRNA from 1 species